rnacentral:rRNA from 1 species
UGGCCCUGGGGUAAAAGAUUUAUCGAUGUAAGAUGGACCCGCGUCUGAUUAGCCAGUUGGCGGGGUAACGGCCCACCAAAGCUACGAUCAGUAGCCGACCUGAGAGGGUGAUCGGCCACAUUGGGACUGAGACACGGCCCAAACUCCUACGGGAGGCAGCAGUGGGGAAUAUUGGGCAAUGGGCGCAAGCCUGACCCAGCGACGCCGCGUGAGUGAAGAAGUAUUUCGGUAUGUAAAGCUCUAUCAGCAGGGAAGACAAUGACGGUACCUGACUAAGAAGCACCGGCUAAAUACGUGCC